UGGUAUACAGACAUUUUUCCUUCCGAAAAUGAACAAAGCAUUGUGAAGAUGUCCCCUGCAGUCCUGUUCCUGCCGCUGCUUGCCCUAACUCUUCCAAGGGUAACCAUUGCCUACCCAUUUUGCUUUAUUUUGUAGCAUUGGGGAAUGAACCCCUGGUCUCACCCAUGCUAAUUAGGCAAACACUCCACCCCUAAGCUAUACCCUUAGCCCCGCCUGUGCUUUGUGAUCUAUGUUCACUCACAGACCAACAUUUAGAUCUUUAAGUGUUUGUUUUUGUUUGUUUGGGACACAUACAGCAUCGUGUUAUACUCGUGGUUUUAGAUGCUAUUCCCCACCUCCAGCUGUAUCUUAAAGAUCUUUCUAUCUUUGCACAGAUCUGAACGUUUGCUGUGGAGACGGAUGUCUGCGCCUCCUGGGCCAGAGCGGUUGUGCAUUUACAUUUUGAUCAACAUGGACGCGUUGCUUUUGAAAAGGCCUCUGCUUCCUCUGACACUCGGACCCUCAUACCUUAAAUUUCCUGCUAUUCUGCCACGGUGACCACAUCAUUUUCCUAGAUGGGGGGUCUAUCCCCCUGGAUGACAAGUUGCCCCCUACAAUGAGAUUUGCAGACGUCACCAGCAGCCACUGUUUAAUAUUUAUCGGGAGCCUGCUGCGUGCUGGGCCCACUCAGCAACCAAGAAGACCUCUGGGAAGGAAACCUGCAGUGAUU